UCUCUCCCUCCCUCCCUGCUGCUCUGUGUGUGUCUAUUUUCACUUCUGGAGGACUGGCGAGAGAGUGCAACAGGAUCCCUUCUCAGUCCCCUGCUCUGAGUUCUCUACCUAAAGGCCUUUGCUUUCUUUUUGACUGAGCUGUUCAGACUUGUCUUUGCCUACUCUGUCUUCUCCAGCCUCGGCUAGUGGGUGAGGCCAGUGAACCAGUUCCUGCACCCAGAACCAGCAGAAAGAAAAAGUAGCUGUAUCUCCGGGAGCAAAGAAAGCCAUUGAAAGUUAUUUGGAAAUGGUGCUCUGAAGCACCGUGUGGAGGGUCUGAAGAGCUCUCAGGAGACGCAGGGCUGCCCUGCAGCUCUGGUUUCAGCUGGCUGUGUAUGAUUUUUGUAUGACAAUAUAUUUCUAAACCAGGAUGGCUGGGGCAGGUGGAGACUGGGAAAGGAUGAGUAGAAACAGCACUUUUUGGGACCAGAUCUUCUCUCAGCCUCUUUCAUGUGAAGUCUGGAAGCAGAGCAUGGAGGAAGCAGCCUAUCAUCUAGCUGGCUGCAUCCUUCUGCUGGGUUACAUGGGGGGAAGUGGGAUCUUUGGAUCCAUCUACAUAUUUAGCCUACUGGCCAUUGGCUACUUCUGCUAUGCUCUUUGGGGCUGGCUGGAUGUCUGUGGGCUGGAUAUCUUCAUCUGGAACAUGCUGCUGGUCAUGGCCUGCUUGCUUCAGCUGGCUCACCUGACUUACCUGCUCCGUAAGGACACCUUCUUGGAAGAAUUCGAUCUUCUUUACAAGACCAUCUACCAGCCUCUCCAGGUGCCCCUCCAGGUCUACAAAGAGAUUGUGAAAUGCUGUGAAGAACAGGUCCUUUCGCUGACCAGAGACCAGAGCUAUGCCCUAGAAGGCAAGACACCCAUCAACCGCCUGUCUCUACUUCUCUCUGGCAGGGUCAGAGUGAGCCAGGAUGGACAGUUUCUGCAUUACAUCUUCCCCUACCAGUUCAUGGACUCCCCUGAGUGGGAGUCGCUGCGGCCCUCUGAGGAAGGAACCUUCCAGGUCACCUUGACAGCAGAGACUGACUGCAGUUAUGUGUCAUGGCCACGGAAGAGGCUGUACCUUCUCCUGAGGAAGGAUCGCUACAUUGCCCGUCUCUUCUCAUCCCACCUUGGCUGUGACAUUUCGGAGAAGCUCUAUGCCCUCAAUGACAAACUCUUUGCAAAGUUUGGCCUGCGCUUUGACAUUCGCCUGCCCAGCCUCUACCACGUCUUGGGACCAGCCUCCACAGAGCUGGAGAAGGAACUGGAAGAGUGUGAUGAGCCACCAGUCCCCCCUCGUCCUUUACCCACCUUUGUCCAAACAGCUGCCUCAGCCCCUCCACCACCUCCUCCCUCUGCUCCUGCUUCUGCUCCUCCUGCCCACCCCAAGGCAGGCCGGCCUGACAGUGACCUGCUGGGUGAGGACUCUACCAGUCUUGUGUUGGAAGAUUUUGCUGAGUUGCCAGGGUCUUUUAUGGACUAUGUGAGCGAAGGGGAGUAUAUGAAGUGAGGGCACUUCUAACAUGGGCACACGUCACCCUGUGUAGGAUUCCUGUGUAAGUACUCACUUGCCUGUGGAAGGAAACACUCAUGUGCAUGUCUCUGCACCUUGGAGGUGGUGAAUGAUCUAACUGUCUAUGCAAAGCUUAGCACUAACGCUGCCUAGGGGGAGUGGUGAGCUAACAUCUGCCAAUCUAAUUUGCUAAAGGGGUAGGGGGUUGGUUGGGCUCCAUGAAGACUGGGUAAAGGGCACAGAUCCCAGUGUCCUCCACUCAGCCCUCAUGGGUUGGGAAGCCUUUUUAGGUACCAGCUGCCCCUUCGGUUAAAUAGACAAGAUAACCUAUCAGUGCCUGCAACUCCCUCCUUCCUACCCUUGUUAAUGUCACCCACACAGGAUGCUAGGUCCAAUAGAGCUGAAAUAAGUGGGGAACCCCAAAUCUCUCAAAUAUCCUUUUACUAGUCAAAAAUAGAUCACUGUGUGGCGCUCGGCGUCAGUGAAAGUCUGAUGGUGGCUGUGAAAUUUUCCUCGCUACAGCAUUCUGGGGGGCACGUCUCCCUGAGAAUCUCAUGAUGCGUGUUGCACCUGGCACAUGCACCCAGGGGAAUUUCUUAGUGUAAUUUUCCUGAGGAGCUUAGGUUAAAAUGACACUCCGGGCUUUGGUAGCCAUGGUCGCCCUGGAAAUUGUUCAGUCAGGUUACAGCAUCUUUAGAGCUGAGGAAAUCUUAGAACAAGCAGAGUAAUAUGGAAGGAGGACAUGUUGAAUCAUGCCACAAAGCUGAUGCAGGAGGAGGAGGGGAGGAGACCCACAUUUCAAAACAAUCUGAAGAAGUGCAAAGCAGGACAGGAAAGAGAAUUUCCUUCAGGAGGAGCCCUGUGUGAUAUAUGGCAGAGUACAGCUUCUGGAAACCUUCUUCGGAGUUAUCCCAGAGUUUUCUUCAAAGGACGAGCCCCCCUGGCUCCCACCCAGACCCCAGA